GGCGGAAUGGCCGAGCGGUCUAAGGCGCUAGAAUCAGGUCACGUGAAUCUAGUCCGAACAGGGCGUGGGUUCGAAUCCCACUUCCGUCA
rfam:Laetiporus sulphureus 93-53 unplaced genomic scaffold LAESTscaffold_10, whole genome shotgun sequence.